GGGUGGGUUAUGCGUGUUUGCAUAGUUUACUCUGCAAAGGUAAAUUUAGGUUUGAUUUGCCCCCACCCU
rnacentral:tRNA from 1 species